rnacentral:tRNA from 1 species
GUAUGUAUAGCUCAGUGGUAGAGUGCAUGCUUAGCAUACGCAAGGUCCUGGGUUCCAUCCCCAGUACCUCCU